CAGAGUUUAAAAACUCCCUAAACCCCUUUGUUGUAACAUAUACCUGUUAUGUUGCUUCGGCGGAUCAGCAGCGCCCAGGCGUAGCCAUCCAGCCUGCUCACGGCCAGUGCCUGCCGCUAGGAACCACUAAACUCUUGUUAUUAGUGGUACCAAUUCUGAGUAUCUAAAAAAAAUAUAAUCA
rnacentral:misc_RNA from 1 species